rnacentral:rRNA from 1 species
GACGGAGGAUGCAAGUGUUAUCCGGAAUCACUGGGCGUAAAGCGUCUGUAGGUGGUUUAAUAAGUCAACUGUUAAAUCUUGAAGCUCAACUCCAAAAUCGCAGUCGAAACUAUUAGACUUGAGUAUAGUAGGGGUAAAGGGAAUUUCCAGUGGAGCGGUGAAAUGCGUAGAGAUUGGAAAGAACACCGAUGGCGAAGGCACUUUACUGGGCUAUUACUGACACUCAGAGACGAAAGCUAGGGUAGCAAAUGGG